AGCACCCAACCCCUAACCCAAGGUUGAAAGUCGAUUGUGCUUCAAUUCGUUGCUUGCUUAGCGACAGCGCUUUCACGAAAAGCUAGCCAAAAUCGUCGGAGAACAACACAAAUUGACGUAUAUAGGGACCCUUCAAUCUAUAUACAUAUCGUCGUAUACUUUUUUUCAUUUUUUUUGGGUUAAUUUUUCCCUAUUCUAUUACAUAUAAUGCAAGUAAUACCCAGAUGGCGAAACAUUUUGACAUUGAAAAAUCCAAUUAUUCAAUCAACAUGGAUCGAUACACCAUCAACAGCCCAUUUGGCUAAUUUCCAUUCUACUGAUGUUCCCUUUGAGAAAUGGAAGAAUAAGUGGAACCCAGAUGUAAGCAGUCAACAACCAUCAAAGGCAAACAAUCCAUCACAGAAUUAUAUAAGAUAUGCAGUACGACAAAAGCGUGCUGAUGCGAAGAAAGCUCUUAAAAAUCUUAUCUUCAACGGGGGUUGUUCCAAAUCAACAGCAGAGGAGACAUUUCAUCAUAUAGAAGCAGAAUGUGAAGAUCAAUAUAACAAGAAAUCACGAAUAAAGCCUGCUCGUCAAGCAAGGAGAGCUUACCACAAGAAAAUAAAGCGUAAGCUUCGUAGGGAUAAUAUGUUCGAAGAUUUUGAUGCGCACCCUGAGAGAAUAUUUCAGGCAACUUUCGGGAAAAGAUGCUUCACUUGGACCUUUAAACCUUGGGAAAUGGGAUUUGACUGGAGGGAAAAUUUUAGCUGGAAUAACAGAAGAUACGAAGAACACGAUACUAAAGGUGGGACGGAAUUCACUUCCGGUUCUACCAUUGUAGGAACAUAUUCAGAUAGGAUAACUCUUGGUUUACCCCCAGCUGGACCUUUGAAGAUCGAGGACGUCAAGACUGCCUUUCGCUCGUCAGCUUUGAAGUGGCAUCCUGACAAGCAUCAAGGUCCUUCACAGCACUGAUUGAAUCUGGUUUAAGAUUGAAGGGCGGGCUUAACUUCAGGAAUGUUAAAUUGGUUUCUCGUCCCCUUUUCAAUCGAGGGUAUACACUCCUAUAAAGCUAAGAAUUACAGCAAUUUUGGUAAGUUUUCUAACUAUAGUAAGAACUAAUUAGCCUAUUUACCAUGUAUAAAUUACAAUCAUAUCUCAUAAUACAUACUGCUAUAUAUGGCUAACAUCCCCCCUCAAAUUGAUGCGGGUCGAUCAAAAAACAUCAAUUUGUCAAUCAUGAAUUGAUGACGAUGAUGAGAUAGGGCCUUGGUAAAAACAUCAGCAGUUUGAUGUUCAGUGGAGACGUGAGGAAGUGUAAUCACAUGUUGAUCAAGGGCUUCACGGAUAGAGUGACAAUCUACUUCAAUAUGGUUGGUGCACUCAUGAAAUACAGGAUUGGCAGCAAUCUGAAUAGCACUGGUGUUAUCAGUAUAAAGCGGAGUAGGAGCAAAUUGAGAGAUACCAAGUUCACCUAGCAAACCUCUAAGCCACACAAUCUCUGAGCAUGCAGAAGACAUAGCACGAUACUCACAUUCGGUAGAGGACUUUGAGACCCGAUCUUGCUUCUUACUCUUCCAAGAUGUAAUUGCAUCACCAAGAAACAUGCACCAACCAGUAACUGAACGUCAAAUCUCUAUACAACCAGCCCAAUCAACAUCGCUGUAACCUUUUAACUGUAAAGGAUUCCCUGUAGAGAAAAACAACCCUCGACCAAAGGUACCCUUGAGGCAACGAAGAAUUCUUCGUACGGCUACUAAAUGUGGUUGUCGUGGAGCUUUCAUAAACUGACUGAAUUGUUGUACAGCAAAAGAAAUAUCGGGUCGAGUAAUUGUCAAAUAGUUCAAACUCCCUACAAGCUGUCGAUAUAAGGAUGGAUUCGAUAAAAGUUCCCCAUCAACUUGGCUGAGCUUGAUAUUGACUUCCAAAGGUGUAAGUACGGAAUUUCUAGAUUGAAGGCCAACUGAGAAGAGAAUCUCUUGGGUAUACUUGUGUUGAUGUAGAAGCAAACCAUUAGGAUAGGAAUGAACCUGAAGACUAAGAAAAUACUGUAGAGAACCAAGAUCUUUCAUAUGAAAAGUGGUGUUAAGAUGCUGCUGAAGUUGCACAAUCGAUUGAAUGUUGGAACCUGUGAUGACAAUAUCAUCCACAUAUACUAAAAGCACAACAAGACCUGAGGUAGUGGUUUUAAGAAACAAGAAGGAAUCAAACUGACUCUUGAGUGAAAUGAAAAUCCAGCAAAGUAGUACGGAACUUUUCAAACCAAGCACGUGGUGCCCGUUUCAAUCCAUAUAAAGAGCGCCUCAACCGACAAACCUCAGUAGAAGAGUGAGAGAACAUAUCAAGAGGAGGACUCAUAUAUAUUUCCUCCUUCAAAUCACCAUGUAAAAAUGCAUUUUUCACGUCCAUCUGCCGGAGAGUCCAUCCUCUAGAAGCAGCUAUAGCCAUAAUAGUCCUCACCGUAGUCAUCUUUGCAACAGGUGUGAAGGUCUUCUCAUAAUCAAGACCAUACUCCUUACAGUUCCCAAGAGCUACUUUUUCGGGCUUUAUAUCUCUCUAUAGUACCAUCAGGCCGAAGUUUAAUUGUAUAUACCCAUUUGCAUCCAAGAAGUUUUAUCCCAUCAGGACAUGGAACGAUGUCCCAAGUAUGAUUAUCCUGAAGUGCCUGAAGUUCUUCCUGCAUAGCUUUCCGCCAACAAGCAUGAAUAGAAGCUUGAGAGUAAGAUUUGGGCACGGUAGUAGUAUCAAGAGUAGCCUGAUUAGCAAUAUGUGGAAACCCAUACUUAUCUGGAGAGCGUGAGACUCGAGAUGAUUGUCGAGGUUCAAUGAUGAUGGGAUCGGGCGACGGUUUAGUGUCCGAAGGUGGUAGUGGAGGACGUCGUUGAUAUACAAAUUCGGGCUUAAAGCGCUCAACAUUACAAGACAUAUCAUCAAACUUAGGGAGUUGAAUAGAGGCAGAAUCAUGAACAACACGAGACUGGAAGAAAUAUUGAUUGUCAAAGAAAACCACAUUUCGAGAAAUACGAAUUUUGUUAGCAUCUGCGUCAUAACACACAAACCCUUUGUGUGCAUUACUAUACCCGAGGAAUGCACAUCUAGCAGCAUGAGUAGUAAGUUUGUGACGUUCGAUAAAAGGUAAAUGAACAAAACAGACACACCCAAAUAAAUGAAGUGAAUCAUACUCGGGUGCAACAUUAAACAAUCGAGAGUACGGAGAGUCAAAUUGUAAAGUUGGAUAGGGAAGACGAUUAAUCAAAUAAGCAGCUGUCGAUAAAGCUUCGAUCCAAAGUCUAGGGGGCAGGGAUGAUUCAAUUAAUAAAGUACGAACAACAUCCAGAAGAUGACGAUUUUUACGCUCAGCAACCCCAUUUUGUUGGGGAGUGUAAGGACAAGAUCGUUGGGAGAGAAUCCCUUUUGUUUUUAGAUAUUCUUGGAAAUUGUUGGACAUAUAUUCCCCUCCACAGUCAGAACGAAGUAUCUUAAUUCUAGUUGAAAAUUGAGUCUCAACAAAAGCAACAAAGUUCUUAAAGAUGGAGAACACAUCAGUUUUAGAUCGAAGGAAAUAGACCCAAGUGAAACGACUAUAAUCAUCAAUAAAUGUUACGAAAUACAUAUAUUGAGCAUGCGAAAGUAUAGGAUUUACACCCCAUAUAUCAGUAUGAAUAAUCUCAAAACAUGUGGAAGCUCGACUACCAUGCGAAGGAAAAGGUAAAGAUCUGCAUUUACCAAGUUUACAAGAAUUGCAAUCAGAAGACACUUAAGGAAAUGAAUUUUUAUUGCCCAAAUAACCAGUCUUUAAUAGAUAAGUCAAAACAUUAGAAUUAGGAUGUCCCAAUUUCUUAUGCCAAGCAUUACUAUCACUAACAAUAGCAGAAAUCAAAAAUGGAAAACUGAAGAGGAAAUAAACGUCCCACUUUAGGCCCCUUCGCGAUCACUUUCCUCGACGCUUGAUCCUGCACACAACAACCACUCCGAUUAAAACAAAUUUCACAAUUAUCAUCUACCAAUUGUCCAACAGAAAUUAAAUUCGUAGAUAAUUCUGAUGACACAAAUACAUUGGUGAAAGAAGAUCCCAAAUUUCCAAUUGCAAUAAUAGGAAGAGUACUCCCUUUGGCAAUUUGAAUAUGUUGAUCACCUUUAUACUUACGAAUGUCAUGUAGAGCUUCUAUACUACCUGUCAUAUGAUUUGAGGCUGCAGAAUCGACCAACCAAGGAGCAGCAAUUAGAUUUUUCUUACCUUGAAGACCAAGAGCAGAAAAAGCAGAAACAAUCAUCUGUUGAACCAUUUCAGGUGUAAGAGUAGCUGAAAAAGCGGAGGAGACAACAGCUGAAUUGGACUGGAUAGCGGUGCGAUAGGUUGGGCCUUGUCUAUUCUGAGGUCACAGGCGACAAUCUUUAAUGAUAUGCCCAUCCUUUUUGCAGUAACUACAAAAUUUCUUACUGCAAUUCUUUGCAAUAUGUCCAAACUCCUUGCAACUGUAGCACUCUAUCUAAGUUUUCAUUUUUCCCUUGAGCAGCAUAUGCCACAUCAACCAUCUCAGUAGUCACUGAAUCUUCGAUUAUUCCGAGUUGAGUGGCAAAACAUUGUUCUUCACGUAAUAAUUCUCCCAAGCAUAUGUCCAUAGAGGGAACAGGAGUACGGAUCAGUAAAGCAGCCCUUGUAGUCUCAAAUUCUGAUCUCAGCUUUAUCAAAAAUUGAUUUCUUUGACUUUCAGCAUGGACAACUUGAGCUAAAGCUUCAUUGGGAACCUUGGAAUAAACUAUUCCAAAAUAUUCACUCCAUAGAUUAAGGAAUCCAGCAUAGAAUUGAUCAACAGAAAGAUUACUCUGUUUAUAGUUAGCAAUUUCUAAUUCCAAUUGGAACUUCCUGGCAGAAUUGUCUUGAUAGUAAACACGCCUAAGGUAAUCCCACAUUUCUUUAUCAGUAGUGAACGAACGAAGAUUGUUGACCAUAUGUGGUUCAACAAAACUCAGUAGCUAAGAAGCAAUCUUGGCAUCUUUACUUUCCUAUGAACUAAGUUCUUUGAUAUCAGUCGGAGCCUUAGAAGACCCAUCCAAAUGACCCCAUAAUUCUUUCCCUUUCACAAACAUCCUGAACUGAAAUUCCCAACUUGAGUAAUUUUUUCCAUUAAAAAGAAUAAUUGAAUUUUCUCCGGACAUGGUGAAAUUUAAAGAUUGAAUAACUCAAUUCAGAUAAAAUAUCAAGUCCAGCUAAAUUAGUUGAGCUCAAAACUGAAAGUUAUCUUUCCUCCACAAUUAAAUCCAAACACAUUCCAAAAUCCAAUAUCAAACAAUAAAUAAAUCCAAUGCACCCAACAAGGCCCAAUAAUAGAAUGUCCAGACAAAAAUGUUAUAUAGCCCAAUAAAGCCCAGUAAUGAAAUAACGGGAAUAUACCUGCCAGAAUCAAUAUCUCCCGCCAAUCAUCGUUCACCAAGAAAAAUCCAAGAAAAAAAUGGAUUUGUCGAUCCACCGCCAAGAAGAGAGAGUCGACUGGAAGGCCCCCCCACUCAAUAACUCCAAGAGCAGCGACUUCCAAAUGAAGAAAAUCAUACCAAGAAACCCCGAAAGCCGUAACCUAAAAAAAUCGGCCACGGAUAGUCCGACAACUAGAAGACACUGGCAACCAAUUCCUGACCACCGACUGCCCUUUACUCUCUCCAAAUUGCUACCUCUAAUGCGUAUUCCGACAGCCCAAGGCCGAGGUAUUUUCUAUAAGAAUUCAAAACCGAGAUGAUACUUUGAAGAAUGUAAGAGGGCUCUAAUACCAUGUUAAAUUGGUUUCUCGUCCCCUUUUCAAUCAAGGAAAUACACUCCUAUAAAGCUAAGAAUUACAGCAAUUUUGGCAGAUGCAGAAGAGAAAUUCAAGCAUUGUGUCAAUGCAUACAAAUCAUUAUGCAUUGCACUCUCUACAUCAGCUUGAGCUUUACUUUUUCUCCCCUGCCCCCCUAAUUCUGAAUGGAUCCGAACGACAAACUAAACCUUUUUCCAAAUAAAUUUGAAAUUUCCGGUGAACUUGUGUGGAUCCAAAUUAGGUCUAUUUAUUUAUUUUUAGCUUUACAGGAGAAAUUACACGUUCUUGUAUUUUAUAUUCUUUAGAAAUCAAUAAAAUAUCAAGUAUUUAGGUUGCUUACUGUUACAAUGCAUCCAUCUUUUGUGACAUAUACUUUUGGCUGUCUUGACAUUUGAACGUUGUUGUGUGACCCCAGAAAAUAAGAUAUUUUCCUGCAACUGUUGAAAAUA